CUUCUUCUGGGCUGUUUGGAUGGCAUGGGAUUUCGUUUAGGAUUUGGAUUUGGAUUUGGGUGGGUAACUUAAAAAGAGAAGAAUUUGUAUUUGACCCAAAUCCAUCCUGGAAUUCAAGUUCCAAAUCUAUUGAUUUCAAAUCCCUCACUAACCGUGGAAUUUGGGAAAUCCUCCCACAACGCUCGCGUCUUCACUGCCUCAAGCUGCGACAACAAUGUUAAAGCCGCAACCACCAUGGUGUUCAGAUACACAUACACCUCUACUAUGUCAUGGGUGUUGGCAAUGACAAGCAUGGGAAUUAUCAUGGCUUCGGGUUAUUAAAGUGCCAUGAAUAUCUUAGCAUCAACCAUCAGAAGUGUGUUGUACUUGUAGAUUUGAGAAUUGUAACUCUUUUUUAGGGAUUGAAUACCUUAAUUUGUAUGUUUUGAUUUCGUCAGAUUGAUGUGUAAAUAUGUAAAUGUAGCAAAACAUGUUGUACCUUUGGUUCUUUAAUUAAUUUCUAACACAUGAUUACAUUGAUCAAUAUAAUACAAAUAA